rnacentral:rRNA from 1 species
UACGUAGGGGGCAAACGUUGCUCGGAAUUACUGGGCGUAAAGGGUGUGUAGGUGGCUGAGCAAGUCUUAGAUGAAAUCCCGAGGCCUACCCUCGGAACUGUCUUCGAUACUGCUCAGCUUGAGGAUGGUUGAGGAGAACGGAAUUCCCGGUGGAGCGGUGAAAUGCGUAGAUAUCGGGAGGAACACCAGAGGCGAAGGCGGUUCUCUGGGCCAUUCCUGACACUGAGACACGAAAGCUAGGGGAGCAAACGGGAUUAGAUACCCCAGUA